GCCAUAGAAACCUGACGUCAUCAGGGCGACUGUGACGACAUUAGAAAGGAGACCGACUUGCUCUUGUGAGAGGAGCAGAGCCCCUCGUCCUGGUGUUUUGACUCAGCGGAGGGUGUGGGUGCCCCCCGGUGGUGGCUGAUUUUCCCUGGGGUGUGGAAGAUGAAGGGACCCAGACCCAAGUCGCCUCGUUCCUUCUUCUGGACGCGGAGCCCUGCUGACUCCAGAGGGAGAGAGAUGUGGGACCCUUCUGGCCCCAGGCAGCAUGAUGAUCUGCUCCCAGCUCUUCCUCUGGUGACUGAACUCAUAUCAAGUGCCUGAAGAAGUUUCUCUGAAUGUGGGUCAUGAUAGCUGCUGAAGUUUCUACUCCAGAUCCAAAGGUCCACAGUGCUCAGGAGACCCCUGAUACUUCCAUCCCUGAUUCCAUGUGCUUUCUGCUCUCUUGUAAGAAUGAAUUAGCUAGACUGAUGCUGGGAGUCAUCCAGCAUGCAUCCUGGAUGCCACAGCCAUCUACUGACCAUAAGACCUUAAACUUGCCCCAGAGGAGUGUCAUCUCAGAUGAUCCUUAA
rnacentral:lncRNA from 1 species